CCUACGGGUGGCAGCAGUGGGGAAUAUUGGACAAUGGGCGAAAGCCUGAUCCAGCCAUGCCGCGUGUGUGAAGAAGGCCUUCGGGUUGUAAAGCACUUUCAGUGGGGAAGAAAGCCUUGGGGCUAAUACCCUCGAGGAAGGACAUCACCCACAGAAGAAGCACCGGCUAACUCCGUGCCAGCAGCCGCGGUAAUACGGAGGGUGCGAGCGUUAAUCGGAAUUACUGGGCGUAAAGCGCGCGUAGGCGGUCUGAUAAGCCGGUUGUGAAAGCCCCGGGCUCAACCUGGGAACGGCAUCCGGAACUGUCAGGCUAGAGUGCAGGAGAGGAAGGUAGAAUUCCCGGUGUAGCGGUGAAAUGCGUAGAGAUCGGGAGGAAUACCAGUGGCGAAGGCGGCCUUCUGGACUGACACUGACGCUGAGGUGCGAAAGCGUGGGUAGCAAACAGGAUUAGAUACCCUGGUAAUC
rnacentral:rRNA from 1 species